AUGGUCUGAAAGGUAUUAAUAACAGCACCCCUACAGUAGACAAUACUGCCCGUAACGCCACGGAACUCAUUACGGUCGGUAAGUUCAGCGGAAAUCAUAUGUAUUUGCACGGUGAUAUUAACAACGCGAAUAAUUUAGAAAUAGCCCUGAAUCUCAAAUCGAUAUCAAAUCUGGGAUUUCGCUCCUCUGAAUUCGCCAGCCUGCUUACACAGAUGGCGCGGAAGUUUAAAAUGACCAGUGAUGCCAAAUAUUCGAAUCUUUCCGCGUUUCGUUGAUAUGGAAAUCAUUCUAUAUAUAGUCUCCGACUUGACCCUAUAAACUCCUCCGCACAAAAUAUAAACACCACUACAGUUUAUCAUAAUAUUUCACCACAGUCACUGCCAUGCACGCUUCUAACGGUUUUUUUUUUGAAGGUCCAGCCAGUAACGACCAUUGUCCUCAUGCACUCGGAAACAAUGUACCCUUCAUGUGGCGUCAAGAAUUGAUAUUCAUGUCGAUUUGUACCAAAUGAUGGCGAUAUAUGGCACAGUGAUCGCGACCCUAGCAGUAAAAGCGUGGCAGCAGCAAUACAAAAGUAGCUCGUACUGCCACGAAGCGGCCUGCUCUUUGCCGUUGUUAUUGCCAUGCGCAUUGGCUUUCAGCGUUCCACCCGUUUUCAAUCACAAACAACGAAAAGAGGCUCAACUAUGAGAUAAAAUGUAGGGAUAGCGUAUAGCUUGUGAAACACUACAGUCAACUGCUGGCGUCCCUGCUGAAAGCGUUGCCUUCGUGGCUAGUUCGUUUUAGGAGGCAAAUCGGAAGGGCAUCUGGGCGAUAAGAUAAGAAUGUAACGUAAAAAGAACUGCGAAGCUAAACAAACUUUCGGAAACGCCAACGAUGGCAAGGAAUUCUUGUGAACUACAGUCUCGUUUUGCUUUUGGGUUCCAUCAGACGAGUGGCUAGCCUCCAGCGUGAACAUCUAUGAACAUAGAGAUGUCUCAUCACGGUCCAUAGCUAGCCUGAGUUACGGAUUUACUGAAGAUUUGAUUCAGAAGUCAUUGGGUGAAUGGACAUCCGAACGGCGGCUAUUUUCAAAGGGAUUUAUCCUGGUGCACUGAAUGCUCGAGAGCAAUGGGUAUCUUAACUCGCACAUAAGUAGAAGAUACAUUUGUAUGGUAACUUUCCACUAACGACAAAGCAGGAUUCCACUUAAAGCAGCCGUGACAAAAGUAAUUAAGGGCAGAAUUGCUAUUGAUCGUGCACUUUGUCUGCCUUCUGCCUGCACCUCCUCCCCCCCCCCCUCUGCGAUGCCCCUUUGACGUUUGUGAUAUAGGCUAUGAGAAGCUGGUACUCCAAAACGAAGCUGUGGUUACGAAUCAAGGGGUUUUUUUAUGCUUUUUCAAGGAGACGCGCAUCGUUGGAGUUCUUGAUGGCGAAGAACAAGCAAUGGAUUUAUUAUAUAUUGUGGAUUCCAAUAUAUAACAAUAAAACAUCAAUGCUA